rnacentral:rRNA from 1 species
ACAUGCAGUCGAACGGCAGCACGGGUGCUUGACCGUGGUGGCGAGUGGAGAACGGGUGAGUAAUACAUCGGAACAUGUCCUGUAGUGGGGGAUAGCCCGGCGAAAGCCGGAUUAAUACCGCAUACGAUCUACGGAUGAAAGCGGGGGACCUUCGGGCCUCGGCUAUAGGGUUGGCCGAUGGCUGAUUAGCUAGUUGGUGGGGUAAAGGCCUACCAAGGCGACGAUCAGUAGCUGGUCUGAGAGGACGACCAGCCACACUGGGACUGAGACACGGCCCAGACUCCUACGGGAGGCAGCAGUGGGGAAUUUUGGACAAUGGGCGAAAGCCUGAUCCAGCAAUGCCGCGUGUGUAAAGAAGGCUUUCGGGUUGAAAGCACUUUUGUCCGGAAAGAAAUCCUUGGCUCUAAUACAGUCGGGGGAUGACGGUACCGGAAGAAUAAGCACCGGCUA